GCCUGGGACCCUGUGGGAGGCUUCCCCGGCGCCGAGAGCCCUGGCUGACGGCUGAUGGGGAGGAGCCGGCGGGCGGAGAAGGCCACGGGCUCCCCAGUACCCUCACCUGCGCGGGAUCGCUGCGGGAAACCAGGGGGAGCUUCGGCAGGGCCUGCAGAGAGGACAAGCGAAGUUAAGAGCCUAGUGUACUUGCCGCUGGGAGCUGGGCUAGGCCCCCAACCUUUGCCCUGAAGAUGCUGGCAGAGCAGGAUGUUGUAACGGGAAAUGUCAGAAAUACUGCAAGCAAACUGAAAACAACCCAUCCAUGUAGGAAAGAAUAACACGGACUACACAGUUUCGUUCUUGUUGCCCAGGCUGGAAUGCAAUGGCACUGUCUCGGCUCACCGCAACCUCCGCCUCCCGGGUUCAAGCUAUUCUCCUGCCUCAGCCUCCCCAGUAGCUGGGAUUACAGGUUAUCCAAGGACAUGGAAAAGCCAACACCAUGGUAGCAUUAAUGAAAGUUUACCAAGAGGAAGAUGAAGCCUACCAGGAAUUAGUUACCAUGGCAACCAUGUUUUUCCAGUACUUACUGCAGCCAUUUAGGGCUAUGCGAGAAGUUGCAACUUUAUAAUUCCUUGGAUGAGGAUGACGUAGGUCCUACGUCUCCAGGAUAGUUGCCCUGGAGAAAGAAGCUGAAGAAUGGACCAGACGGGCUGAAGAAGCUGUUGUCUCUAUUCAAGAUAUCACAGUGAAUUAUUUUAAUUAGACAGUAAAAGCAUUAGCAGGAAUGCAGAAAGAAAUGGAACAGGAUGUGAAGAGAUUUGGCCAGGCUGCCUGGGCCACAGCAAUUCCCAGGUUGGAAAAACUUAAGCUAAUGCUAGCUCAAGAGACUCUGCAACUCAUGAGAGCGAAAGAAUUGUAUUUAAAUCGCAAAAGAGCUGAAAUUCAGGGAAAGAUGAAAUUUAGAAUCAAGUUCAAAACAAAAAACUCUUUGGAAUUUUGAUUGUGAUUUUGCUUAAAAUUAGAGAUUACUUUGGGGAGAAUAGUGGUCUUUGCAAUUUUGAAUCUUCCUACCCAAGAACAUGAAAAACAGGAUGAAGUUGUCUAUUACGAUCCAUGUGAAAGUCCAGAGGAACUUAGUCAUUGACUGUGGUGGGGCUGCAGGACGAUAAGAAUUCGGAAGUGAAAGAACUCAGAAGGCAGUGCCAGCAGCUGGAGUCUGUUAAACGGAGCAGUCUGUGUCAAAAGAGCUUCUCUCCAGAGUAGAAAGACGGAGUCUCACUCUGUAGCCCAGGCUGGAGUGCGAUGGCGCGAUCUUGGCUCACCACAAGCUCCCCCUCCCGGGUUCACGCCAUUCUCCUGCCUCUGCCUCGUGAGUAGCUGGAACUACUGGCGCCUGCCACCACAUCCAGCUAAUUUUUUUGUAUUUUUAGUGCAGACUGGGUUUCACCGUGUUAGCCAGGAUGGUCUGGAUCUCCUGACCUUGGGAUCCGCCCGCCUCGGCCUCCGAAAGUGCUGAGAUUACCGGCGUGAGCCACUGUGCCCGGCCGAGACUUUUAAUUAUGCAAUGCCAGACUGCAUUGCAUAAACCAAAGGCCAACAGAGAGGUGACCUUUCAAAUUACUGGCACAAGAAGAGCUGAGAUCAGAAAGCUCCAACUUAAUGCAAACAUCGACAAGAAAUCCGACAGAAAUGACUUCUGUGUCUGGUCAACUUAACAUAACAUGACAUAUUGUCAAGCGCAUUUGGCUUUUUAGGUAGAAUUGUCUAUAAAGGUUUAACUGCUUUAGAAAAUAUAAAUGUGAAGAUUUGUGGUAUUUGGGUUUAUAUAUAAGAUAUUUCUACAUUGAAAAGAGACUGGAAAAGCUUGGUAUAAGAUUUGUAAAAUAUGUUUGUAAUAAUGCUAAUGGAAGAGGUGAGAUUUGGGUGGGGUGGGGUGUAGAUGGGAACAUGGUUUGGGGAUUGGGGAAAGGGAAGUCAUGCUGUUAAUAAAAUAGUGAGGCAUGUUGUAUAAAGUGUGUUUUAUGUCUCAAUUGAAAUGUUAUAGAGAUAAAUUUAAAAUAGAUCAUGAUGGGUUUUGAAUCUGAUUUCUAAUUUUAAAAUGUUAUGAGCUUUUGUUGCUUUCCUAUUUCAUACACAUUUCUUUAUGGGUUUCACUUAGACUGCAUGAAAUUGCAGAUGCCAAUUACCUUUUAACAAAAUUAAAUUCACAUAUAUGUAUAAUUUGCAUGUAUAUAUCCAUGGAAUUUUUUAUUCUACACGAUAUAUUAUUUUAAAAUGGUUUUUCAAUGACAAAAUAAAAAGUAUUUUUCUAUA